GAUGAACGCUGGCGGCGUGCCUAACACAUACAAGUCGAGCGAUCUUCUUCGGAAGAGAGCGGCGGACGGGUGAGUAACGCGUGGGUAACCUGCCCUGUACACACGGAUAACAUACCGAAAGGUAUGCUAAUACGGGAUGACAUAUGAAAGUCGCAUGGCUUUUAUAUCAAAGCUCCGGCAGUACAGGAUGGACCCGCGUCUGAUUAGCUAGUUGGUAAGGUAACGGCUUACCAAGGCGACGAUCAGUAGCCGACCUGAGAGGGUGAUCGGCCACACUGGAACUGAGACACGGUCCAGACUCCUACGGGAGGCAGCAGUGGGGAAUAUUGCACAAUGGGCGAAAGCCUGAUGCAGCAACGCCGCGUGAGCGAUGAAGGCCUUCGGGUCGUAAAGCUCUGUCCUCAAGGAAGAUAAUGACGGUACUUGAGGAGGAAGCCCCGGCUAACUACGUGCCAGCAGCCGCGGUAAUACGUAGGGGGCUAGCGUUAUCCGGAAUUACUGGGCGUAAAGGGUGCGUAGGCGGUCUUUCAAGCCAGAAGUGAGAGGCUACGGCUCAACCGUAGUAAGCUUUUGGAACUGUAGGACUUGAGUGCAGGAGAGGAGAGUAGAAUUCCUAGUGUAGCGGUGAAAUGCGUAGAUAUUAGGAGGAAUACCAGUAGCGAAGGCGGCUCUCUGGACUGUAACUGACGCUGAGGCACGAAAGCGUGGGGAGCAAACAGG
rnacentral:rRNA from 1 species